UACGUAGGUGGCAAGCGUUAUCCGGAUUUAUUGGGUGUAAAGGGCGUGUAGGCGGUCUUUUAAGUCUGAUGUGAAAGCCUUCGGCUUAACCGGAGUAGUGCAUUGGAAACUGGGAGACUUGAGUGCAGAAGAGGAGAGUGGAACUCCAUGUGUAGCGGUGAAAUGCGUAGAUAUAUGGAAGAACACCAGUGGCGAAAGCGGCUCUCUGGUCUGUAACUGACGCUGAGGUACGAAAGCGUGGGGAGCAAACAGG
rnacentral:rRNA from 1 species